rnacentral:lncRNA from 1 species
GAACAGGAGCCCCCCAAGUCGUUGCUCCUAGGCAUAGGAGUGAUGACUUUAGAUGUGUGCCCAAGUGCAGAAGGAAAUCUCCUUGCAACCUCUCUUGAACAAAAGUGGACGAGGACGUUGCUCGUCAAAGCCUUGCUCGUAACAAGUAUCUGCAGUGUUUUGCUCAAAUGUGUUGCUCGUAUCUCAUGCGAGGAGAUACUGCACAAAAUGGAAUAGUUGCUCGUAUCUCCUGCGAGGAGAUACUGCACAAGAUGGAAUAACUGCUCGUUGCCAUGGCGAAGAGAUAACCACGAGAAGUAUAUCUGCUCGUGACUACGACGAGGAGGUGACUACGAGAGGGAUUUGUUGCUCGUAUUUGUGACGAGGAAUUGUUGCUCGUUGCUGUGAAGAAGUUAGCAACGAGGAGAUUUUCUGCAAAGCGCAGCUUUUUACUUGAGGACUUGCUCGAGUGAAAUUCGAGCAUCCUCUUUCAUUGGGGAAGUGAAAGGGUGCAUUUACUGCUUUGAUUUUUACGAGGGAGUGUAAGGACCAUUGGAUCAAAGCGUCUCUUCACUCCCCUGGCUUGAUCUAUAUAAUAGAGGAGAGUGAAUUUCAUUUUUACUUUUCACUCUCUCUCUUCAGUUGCGAGUCUCUCUGAAGUUUCAGCUUACUAGUCAAAUCGUUCUUCAGAUCUUCUUCAUAUUCAAGGUAAUUCUUUCAAAUUUUGCUCUUUAGAUCUAUUUUUUGUUGUUCCUGCCCAGUUUUGGGCGUUUUUACAUGAAGAUUGCAUGAAUUUAUGAACAUUAAGAUGAAUGUGCCGGGCACCAUAUGAUUUUGGUGCCGGGGAGCUUUCUUCCCCUUUGAAACUCU